rnacentral:rRNA from 1 species
UACGGAGGGAGCUAGCGUUGUUCGGAAUUACUGGGCGUAAAGCGCGCGUAGGCGGCUUUGUAAGUUAGAGGUGAAAGCCCGGGGCUCAACCCCGGAACUGCCUUUAAGACUGCAUCGCUUGAAUCCGGGAGAGGUGAGUGGAAUUCCGAGUGUAGAGGUGAAAUUCGUAGAUAUUCGGAAGAACACCAGUGGCGAAGGCGGCUCACUGGACCUGUAUUGACGCUGAUGUGCGAAAGCGUGGGGAGCAAACAGG